rnacentral:rRNA from 1 species
AUGGCGACGGAAGGGGUGAAGAGAGGGGCAUGGACUGGCAAGGAGGACGAAACCUUGGCUUCCUACGUCAAGGCGCAUGGCGAAGGCAGAUGGAACGAAGUCCCCCAGAGAGCUGGUCUUCGGCGGUGCGGCAAGAGCUGUCGGCUGCGGUGGCUGAACUACCUCCGGCCGAACAUCAAGCGGGGAAACAUAUCCAACGAUGAGGAGGACACCAUCGUCAGGCUCCACGCUCUCCUUGGCAACAGGUGGUCGCUCAUCGCUGGCAGGUUGCCCGGCCGAACAGACAACGAAAUCAAGAACUACUGGAAUAGCACCCUUGGCCGGAAGGUGCUUCCCGCACCACAUUCCGCCACCAGGAUGGUUGCCACGCCAGACACCUCCGCCGGCUCCGGAUCUUACACAGAGGCGUCGGCAAGUCUGUCUAGCUCUGGACCUGGUACAAGCGACAAGGCUGCGACGCCGUCGCCGCUGCCGGCCACGCUGUGGGCGCCAAAGCCUGUGAGGCACACGGGGCACCCCUUCUUCCUCCGGGAUAGGCCGCCGCCCUUGCCGGUUGCGGAGACGCGAACCGUGGCCAACGGGGAUGCCUGCAGCGGCAGCAGCUCGGUGACAUCGGAGUUCCCGGCUGUACCGCCCUCGUUAGGCAGUGACGACUGGAUGCACGAAGUGAGAGGGUUAACAUUUCAGAAAGCAUAG